AGAAGACAUAAGCUUCUGUGCAAUCUCCUCCAUGUGAGCAAGACAAACAUAGCCACAGCCCUGUGAAGGACAUCCAGUGAGAACCACCAUGAGGAACAAACAGUGGGUCCAGAAUAUUUUCUUCUGCCUUUUAUUCCAGUACACUGUGUGUUUUGAAAGCCUCACUUGUUUUGUGGACUAUGUACAGAC
rnacentral:lncRNA from 1 species